rnacentral:rRNA from 1 species
GAUGAACGCUGGCGGCGUGCCUAAUACAUGCAAGUCGAGCGAACGGACGAGAAGCUUGCUUUUUUGAUGUUAGCGGCGGACGGGUGAGUAACACGUGGAUAACCUACCUAUAAGACUGGGAUAACUUCGGGAAACCGGAGCUAAUACCGGAUAAUAUUUUGAACCGCAUGGUUCAAUAGUGAAAGACGGUCUUGCUGUCACUUAUAGAUGGAUCCGCGCUGCAUUAGCUAGUUGGUAAGGUAACGGCUUACCAAGGCAACGAUGCAUAGCCGACCUGAGAGGGUGAUCGGCCACACUGGAACUGAGACACGGUCCAGACUCCUACGGGAGGCAGCAGUAGGGAAUCUUCCGCAAUGGGCGAAAGCCUGACGGAGCAACGCCGCGUGAGUGAUGAAGGUCUUCUGAUCGUAAAACUCUGUUAUUAGGGAAGAACAUAUGUGUAAGUAACUGUGCACAUCUUGACGGUACCUAAUCAGAAAGCCACGGCUAACUACGUG